UACGGGGGGAGCAAGCGUUGUUCGGAUUUACUGGCGUAAAGGGCGCGUAGGCGGUCAGCACAAGUCAGUUGUGAAAUCUCCGAGCUUAACUCGGAAAGGUCAACUGAUACUGUGCGACUAGAGUGCAGAAGGGGCAACUGGAAUUCUUGGUGUAGCGGUGAAAUGCGUAGAUAUCAAGAGGAACACCUGCGGCGAAGGCGGGUUGCUGGGCUGACACUGACGCUGAAGCGCGAAAGCCAGGGGAGCGAACGGG
rnacentral:rRNA from 1 species